UGCUCACGCAUUUCUUUUCUUAUCCCCAUGAGAGUCCCGUCAGAGUCUCUGUUUCCUAGGAAGUGUAUUAUUCCUAUGGAUGGUCUUUUCUCCUGUUUUUUUCUUUUCUUCUUUGUGGACUCAUAUUCCCCACAGAGAUAGUUUGUUUUGCAUUCAUACAUUUGCAUCAUGAGGUCGCUCAAGGACCAAAAUUCGUCUCAUUAUUGUUAUUUAAGCCCAUUUCUACCGCAUCGAGAUGAAGACUUUAAC
rnacentral:lncRNA from 1 species